AAAAACAAGGUUUAACACACUGCACUAUAGCAACUCAUAGACUACUACAGUACAGCGCAAGAUGGAUUGAAAAGAGCCCUCAGUCAGAGUGAGCCGUUUGAAAUAUUGUCAUUAUGGUUCAAAUAUUGUUGAUCAGUUUAAAAAAUGCAAUAUAGAGUCUUGUAGAGUGAACUCUCAUCGCGAUGAAAAAAGUAACGCUACCUAUACUUUUCAUGCAUUUUUCCGCAAAAGGUGAGUAAACUGUCCCUUGAAAAAAGGUGGGUAAACUGUCCCUUAAAAAAGGUGAGUAAACUGUCCAUUAAAAAGGUGGGUGAACUGUCCCUUAAAAAAGGUGGGUAAACUGUCCCUUGAAAAAAGGUGAGUAAAACUGUCCCUUGAAAAAAGGUAAGUAAACUGUCCCUUAAAAAGGUGGGUAAACUGUCCCUUGAAAAAAGGUGGGUAAACUGUCCCUUGAAAAAAGGUAAGUAAACUGUCCCUUAAAAAGGUGGGUAAACUGUCCCUUAAAAAAGGUGAGUAAACUGUCCCUUAAAAAGGUGGGCAAACUGUCCCUUAAAAAGGUGGGUAAACUGUCCCUUAAAGGUGGGUAAACUGUCCCUUAAAGGUGGGUAAACUGUCCCUUAAAAAGGUGAGUAAACUGUCCCUUAAAAAGGUGAGUAAACGGUCCCUUAAAAAGGUGGGUGAAAUGUAUUUACUUGUGUCUCCCCUACACUAUAACCCUACACU